GAGUUUGAUUAUGGCUCAGGAUGAACGCUGGCGGCGUGCCUAGCACAUGCAAGUCGAGCGAGAAAUCUGAAACUUGAUCUUCGGAAAGAGUAUCGGAAGGAAAGCGGCGGACGGGUGAGUAACGCGUAGGUAACCUGCCCCAUACAGAGGGAUAGCCACUGGAAACGGUGAUUAAUACCUCAUAAAACCGAGAAUUCACAUGAAUAGUCGGUCAAAGAAUAUAUCGGUAUGGGAUGGACCUGCGUCUGAUUAGUUAGUUGGUGAGGUAACGGCUCACCAAGGCGACGAUCAGUAGCCGACCUGAGAGGGUGAUCGGCCACAUUGGAACUGAGACACGGUCCAAACUCCUACGGGAGGCAGCAGUGGGGAAUAUUGCACAAUGGAGGGAACUCUGAUGCAGCAACGCCGCGUGAAUGAAGAAGGCCUUUGGGUCGUAAAAUUCUGUUAUGAGGGAAGAAGAAAGUGACG
rnacentral:rRNA from 1 species